rnacentral:lncRNA from 1 species
GAUUUUACGAGUUCCACUGCUGAAAAUGAGGCCUCUUCUAGAAGCAGUACUGCUACCGCCGAGUAUACAUCUAGUAGUUGUACUAAUCAUUCUGGGAAUUUGGAAUUAUGUUCUCAGCAGUUGAAUGUUAACAACAGUCUCAUUGAACCUCAAGUAGCCAAUACUUCCUUAAAGUUUCAGCCACCUACAGGGUCACACUCUACUGAUGCACUUCACACAAGCCUUGUGGGUCAGGAUACUGCGAGUCUACAUUCAGACGAGCAGACCGUAGCGGAUGUCAGUAUCGAUGGCUUUACACCUGAUUCUGGUUCUGAUGUUUCAGGUUCUCUAGAAACUUCUCAACAGCUUCCAAGAUUUCACUUGUCUGUGGGGGAUCAAGUUCCUAUGGGCAUGGGCAUGAUAUUGGUUGAUGUGGUGAGUAUACAUUCCAACAUUUUGUCUAGUGGCAUUGCAGAAAUUAGUAACCGUGAGACAAGAAGGAAUUCUAGAAGGAUGUUUGGGGAUUUUUUCUCAAGAAACAGUUUUAGGCGGAAUAGUAAUUCCCCAAGCAUUGUUUUUACAACUAGUCAUGCUGAUGAUCUGGGAUCUCAUGACAGAUGGCUCCUUGAUUAUAGUGGUGAUCUUCAUUAUGAUGGCAUUGGUCGUGAGUCUAGAUACUCUGGCACUAGAAGCGAUCAUAGAAGUGAACGACUAUGGCAAUCAAGAUACGAGGUAAGAGUUUUCCCUUUUCCUUUUCUUGUAACUUCUUAUAUGUGGUUAAUUUUCUAGUUACCCCUUAUAUGUGGUUAUGAAGCAUGGCAUUCAUUUUCAUUCAAAAUUUCUGUUUUUUUUUUUUUUUUUUUAUCCUUACUGACAUUUUUUUGUUGCUUGCUAAAUGAUAAAUAGUGGUUACUUUAUCUCGUUAAUUCAUUCUGUGGCAAAACAUGGAGUCCACCGGUUAUUCAGCUGCUUUUGACAUUUUUGUGGUUUCAAGUUUCUCUUUUUUGUCACUAAAAUCUGAUGCCAACAGUUUUCCAUUUUUGUUUUUUGUUUAAUGAAAUAAUCACGGCCAAUUGAAUUGACUGCAUUCAUAUAUCCGAGUGAUUCUCAAACUGAUUUUGGCUUUCCAGGUGGGUGAUCGUCCGGAUGAUUCAUCAACUAUAUCUCUUCAAAACAUGGCUCCGCACCAUGAUGUGUCAAUCAGCUCCAAGCAGCAGUCAACCUUUGGUUCUAAAGCUGAUUUUACGAGUUCCACUGCUGAAAAUGAGGCCUCUUCUAGAAGCAGUACUGCUACCGCCGAGUAUACAUCUAGUAGUUGUACUAAUCAUUCUGGGAAUUUGGAAUUAUGUUCUCAGCAGUUGAAUGUUAACAACAGUCUCAUUGAACCUCAAGUAGCCAAUACUUCCUUAAAGUUUCAGCCACCUACAGGGUCACACUCUACUGAUGCACUUCACACAAGCCUUGUGGGUCAGGAUACUGCGAGUCUACAUUCAGACGAGCAGACCGUAGCGGAUGUCAGUAUCGAUGGCUUUACACCUGAUUCUGGUUCUGAUGUUUCAGGUUCUCUAGAAACUUCUCAACAGCUUCCAAGAUUUCACUUGUCUGUGGGGGAUCAAGUUCCUAUGGGCAUGGGCAUGAUAUUGGUUGAUGUGGUGAGUAU